rnacentral:rRNA from 1 species
UUAACCAUAGAACUGCUUGGGAAACUGGUAAUCUAGAGUGAGGGAGAGGCAGAUGGAAUUGGUGGUGUAGGGGUAAAAUCCGUAGAGAUCACCAGGAAUACCCAUUGCGAAGGCGAUCUGCUGGAACUCAACUGACGCUAAUGCGUGAAAGCGUGGGGAGCAAACAGGAUUAGAUACCCUGGUAGUCCACGCCCUAAACGAUGUAUACUAGUUGUUGCUAAGCUAGUCUUGGCAGUAAUGCACCUAACGGAUUAAGUAUACCGCCUGGGGAGUACGGUCGCAAGAUUAAAACUCAAAGGAAUAGACGGGGACCCGCACAAGCGGUGGAGCAUGUGGUUUAAUUCGAAGAUACGCGAAGAACCUUACCCGGACUUGAUAUCUAACAAAUCAUCUAGAGAUAGAAGAGUGUCUGCUUGCAGAAAUGUUAAGACAGGUGCUGCACGGCUGUCGUCAGCUCGUGUCGUGAGAUGUUGGGUUAAGUCCCGCAACGAGCGCAACCCACGUCAUUAGUUGCUAACAGUUCGGCUGAGCACUCUAAU